rnacentral:rRNA from 1 species
AUUGAACGCUGGCGGCAUGCUUUACACAUGCAAGUCGAACGGUAACAGGCCGCAAGGUGCUGACGAGUGGCGAACGGGUGCGUAAUGCAUCGGAACGUGCCCAGUCGUGGGGGAUAACUACUCGAAAGAGUAGCUAAUACCGCAUACGAUCUAUGGAUGAAAGCGGGGGACCGUAAGGCCUCGCGCGAUUGGAGCGGCCGAUGUCAGAUUAGGUAGUUGGUGGGGUAAAGGCUCACCAAGCCAACGAUCUGUAGCUGGUCUGAGAGGACGACCAGCCACACUGGGACUGAGACACGGCCCAGACUCCUACGGGAGGCAGCAGUGGGGAAUUUUGGACACUGGGCGCAAGCCUGAUCCAGCAAUGCCGCGUGCAGGAAGAAGGCCUUCGGGUUGUAAACUGCUUUUGUACGGAACGAAACGGCUCUGGUUAAUACCCGGGGCUAAUGACGGUACCGUAAGAAUAAGCACCGGCUAACUACGUG